GGAGAAGUGGCGGAAUUGGUAGACGCUAACGACAAUACUAAGCCAGUCAAGCGGUUCGGAGGCUGCAAGCAACCCAAAGACCGAGGUUGCAAUGCCCGAAGAAAUAUCCGAUACUGGUUUACCGGUUCGAAUCCGGUCUUCUCCA
rnacentral:tRNA from 1 species